CAAAAUGGAAAAAAUAAGCUGUGUUUUUAAGAUUCCAGUGGUGGCCAUCAACUGCUCAGGAAAGCAGCCCAGAAUCACUUCACAACAGGUUUCCAAAGGAUCAUCAUUCAUCAGCACAGAAGGGUGGGAAAGAGAAGGCUGUUCAAAUUCUGAAAAGUCAGAGCUGCAAAGGAGGUCAAAGAUGCAGUGCAGUUGGCCCACUCAGUAGAGUUUCACUAGUGGUUCUGAUGUGGACUGAAGAUUACACGCUGGAUUGAAGUGGCCAGUCUGGAGCAGCUGUAGUUCAUCAUUCUUGCUGAUUGUGGACGAGUAAGAGCCCGCGUUGGCCCCGAUCGGCGAUCGCUGGCCGAAGCCCACCACCAGUUUGGUGAUAGGCGUUGGCUGUGAUAUCUAGUGUCGCCUAUGUGUGAAAAGGACAAGUUGAUAACAAAACCUGUUGCGCCAUGUUAUUAACCCGCGCCCGGGUGGCCCUCAGCCAACUUGGUGGGGGGGGGAGGAGGUGUAUUCGGCCACACCAGGUUAUCUUGGAAUGUAGCAAAGCUGGAAAGACGCAGUAAAAUCAAUCUAUAGAUCGCUAUUUUUCUUCAGAAUCAUACAGGUCAUUUUUGAUCAGGUCAUCGCUGAGGUCACUGGAGGUCACCAAAAGUAAAAUAAUGACGAAUUUUGGCCCCCGAUUUUGACAACUUCACAAAUUGGUUCAUAAUUCGGGAACCAAAGAAGCUAAAGCGCCGCGGAAAAGCGAAUUCGAUAGCUCUUUCGAAAAUCUUUCAGGUUCUCAGAUUUGAGCUAAGGUCAACUAGGGUUAAGCCUCCAAAGGGCAACAACUGAACAAUCGGCUUGCU